rnacentral:lncRNA from 1 species
GCAAAGACAGUCGCAUAGUGCUCAUGAUAUUGUUAGGAUCAUAUCAUAUCAGCAGAUGAUAUUAUAAAACCAUUUUGCAUAUUAUAAAUGUCUAAUAAAAAUACUUUUAAAGAUCAGUUGGUGGCCUGAGUAAAGACAGUCGCAUAGCGCUGUCUCUAACUUUAGCAAACAAAUUUUGACGAUCAGUUUUUUUUUUUUUUUUUCUGCAACA